GAUCUCCAGUCUGUGGCUCCUACCAGCCAUUGUAGGCCAAUAAUCCGUUAUGGAGCAUGCCUUUACCCCGUUGGAGCCCCUGCUUUCCACUGGUACUGUAUUUCUUUCCACGGUUUAGUGUCACUGACGUGCCCCUCCCCAGCGACGGGAACAGGUCGAAAGGACGGGGCUCUAGAGCCAGCGUGACUUCCAGCCUGGGUUCUGUCCCUGAUUUCCUAGCUCUGUACCGCUAAGCAUAUCAGCCUCUCGCCGGUCUCAUUUUCCUCAUCUGAAAAAUGAGCUUACGUAUCAGUCCUUGCUGUGAGGACGAAAUGACAAGAUACAGUGUGUGUAGUCCGUGUGGAGCCCAGUAAGCGCUUCCCGGCUGUUGCGCCUCCACCAACAGCGCGAACAAAUCUGGAACAUAGCGGAACAUUAGACAUUGCAGGCAUUAAGGACGGUCAUCGUUGCCUGACCGUGAUGCAUUUUUAAUCCAUUGAAAGUGCCCCGAGCUUAUCUAAUAAAAGAUUGGCAAAUGAUUA
rnacentral:lncRNA from 10 species